CUUGGUCAUUUAGAGGAAGUAAAAGUCGUAACAAGGUCUCCGUUGGUGAACCAGCGGAGGGAUCAUUACCGAGUUUACAACUCCCAAACCCCUGUGAACAUACCUAUACGUUGCCUCGGCGGAUCAGCCCGCGCCCCGUAAAACGGGACGGCCCGCCCGAGGACCCCUAAACUCUGUUUUUAGUGGAACUUCUGAGUAAAACAAACAAAUAAAUCAAAACUUUCAACAACGGAUCUCUUGGUUCUGGCAUCGAUGAAGAACGCAGCAAAAUGCGAUAAGUAAUGUGAAUUGCAGAAUUCAGUGAAUCAUCGAAUCUUUGAACGCACAUUGCGCCCGCCAGUAUUCUGGCGGGCAUGCCUGUUCGAGCGUCAUUUCAACCCUCAAGCUCAGCUUGGUGUUGGGACUCGCGGUAACCCGCGUUCCCCAAAUCGAUUGGCGGUCACGUCGAGCUUCCAUAGCGUAGUAAUCAUACACCUCGUUACUGGUAAUCGUCGCGGCCACGCCGUAAAACCCCAACUUCUGAAUGUUGACCUCGGAUCAGGUAGGAAUACCCGCUGAACUUAAGCAUAUCAAUAAG
rnacentral:rRNA from 1 species